rnacentral:rRNA from 1 species
AUGAACGCUGGCGGCUUGCCUAAUCCCUGCAAGUCGAGCGAACGGACGAGAAGCUUGCUUUUCUGAUGUUAGCGGCGGACGGGUGAGUAACACGUGGAUAACCUACCUAUAAGACUGGGAUAACUUCGGGAAACCGGAGCUAAUACCGGAUAAUAUUUUGAACCGCAUGGUUCAAAAGUGAAAGACGGUCUUGCUGUCACUUAUAGAUGGAUCCGCGCUGCAUUAGCUAGUUGGUAAGGUAACGGCUUACCAAGGCAACGAUGCAUAGCCGACCUGAGAGGGUGAUCGGCCACACUGGAACUGAGACACGGUCCAGACUCCUACGGGAGGCAGCAGUAGGGAAUCUUCCGCAAUGGGCGAAAGCCUGACGGAGCAACGCCGCGUGAGUGAUGAAGGUCUUCGGAUCGUAAAACUCUGUUAUUAGGGAAGAACAUAUGUGUAAGUAACUGUGCACAUCUUGACGGUACCUAAUCAGAAAGCCACGGCUAACUACGUG